rnacentral:rRNA from 1 species
GAUGAACGCUGGCGGCGUGCCUAAUACAUGCAAGUCGAGCGAACGGACGAGGAGCUUGCUUUUCUGAUGUUAGCGGCGGACGGGUGAGUAACACGUGGAUAACCUACCUAUAAGACUGGGAUAACUUCGGGAAACCGGAGCUAAUACCGGAUAAUAUUUUGAACCGCAUGGUUCAAAAGUGAAAGACGGUCUUGCUGUCACUUAUAGAUGGAUCCGCGCUGCAUUAGCUAGUUGGUAAGGUAACGGCUUACCAAGGCAACGAUGCAUAGCCGACCUAAGAGGGUGAUGGGCCACACGGGAACUGAGACACGGUCCAGACUCCUACGGGAGGCAGCAGUAGGGAAUCUUCCGCAAUGGGCGAAAGCCUGACGGAGCAACGCCGCGUGAGUGAUGAAGGUCUUCGGAUCGUAAAACUCUGUUAUUAGGGAAGAACAUAUGUGUAAGUAACUGUGCACAUCUUGACGGUACCUAAUCAGAAAGCCACGGCUAACUACGUG